rnacentral:snoRNA from 1 species
UUCCACAGGUACUGGCCUGAAACUGUUCUGUGCUGUAGCAGUUGCAGUAUUCCAACUGUGGGAAAACAACUGUUACACUUGUAGAAUGCUCCUUUCCCAACCGAGAAGAGAGUUUCAGUGUAACAAACAAUA